rnacentral:rRNA from 1 species
GGCUCAGAUUGAACGCUGGCGGCAUGCCUUACACAUGCAAGUCGAACGGCAGCACGGGAGCAAUCCUGGUGGCGAGUGGCGAACGGGUGAGUAAUAUAUCGGAACGUGCCCAGUCGUGGGGGAUAACGUAGCGAAAGCUACGCUAAUACCGCAUACGAUCUACGGAUGAAAGCGGGGGAUCGCAAGACCUCGCGCGAUUGGAGCGGCCGAUAUCAGAUUAGGUAGUUGGUGAGGUAAAGGCUCACCAAGCCGACGAUCUGUAGCUGGUCUGAGAGGACGACCAGCCACACUGGGACUGAGACACGGCCCAGACUCCUACGGGAGGCAGCAGUGGGAAUUUGGACAAUGGGCGCAAGCCUGAUCCAGCAAUGCCGCGUGCAGGAUGAAGGCCUUCGGGUUGUAAAGCUCUUUUACCCGGGAUGAUAAUGACAGUACCGGGAGAAUAAGCUCCGGCUAACUCCGUG